rnacentral:rRNA from 1 species
CUUGUGCCAAGCAGCCGCGGUAAUUCCAGCUCCAAUAGCGUAUAUUAAAGUUGUUGCAGUUAAAAAGCUCGUAGUUGGAUCUCGGGUCCGGGCUCGCGGUCCACCUCGCGGUGGUUACUGCCCGUCCCGACCUACCUACCGGUUUUCCCUUGGUGCUCUUAACUGAGUGUCUCGGGUGGCCGGAACGUUUACUUUGAAAAAAUUAGAGUGUUCAAAGCAGGCGCUUCGCCUGAAUAAUGUUGCAUGGAAUAAUGGAAUAGGACCUCGGUUCUAUUUUGUUGGUUUUCGGAACUCGAGGUAAUGAUUAAGAGGGACAGACGGGGGCAUUCGUAUGAUGGUGUUAGAGGUGAAAUUCUUGGAUCGCCGUCAGACGAACUACUGCGAAAGCAUUUGCCAAGAAUGUUUUCAUUAAUCAAGAACGAAAGUCAGAGGUUCGAAGACGAUCAGAUACCGUCCUAGUUCUGACCAUAAACGAUGCCGACUAGCGAUCCGCCGGAGUUGUUUCAAUGACCCGGCGGGCAGCUUCCGGGAAACCAAAGUCUUUGGGUUCCGGGGGAAGUAUGGUUGCAAAGCUGAAACUUAAAGGAAUUGACGGAAGGGCACCACCAGGAGUGGAGCCUGCGGCUUAAUUUGACUCAACACGGGAAAGCUUACCCGGCCCGGACACCGUAAGGAUUGACAGAUUGAGAGCUCUUUCUUGAUUCGGUGGGUGGUGGUGCAUGGCCGUUCUUAGUUGGUGGAGCGAUUUGUCUGGUUAAUUCCGAUAACGAACGAGACUCUAGCCUAUUAAAUAGUUCGCCGAUUUCGAUCUGUCGGCGUUAACUUCUUAGAGGGACAAGUGGCUUUUAGCCACGCGAGAUUGAGCAAUAACAGGUCUGUGAU